CGGCAAGCUUUGAAGUAUCUUCUGGGAGAGGGAGGCUGCCCCGUCCUAAAGAUGCCAUCAUUGGUGUCCUCGACCCCUCUGACUAGCAGGUUUUAUGAAAAGAUAGCUGUUAAAAGAACAACAACAACAAAAAGGAACUUAGAAUGCUAAUGUUCCUGCUACAAUGUCUUGCAAUGCGUCUGGAAUUUGAGACCAGCUUGGCCUUCCGCAAGAAGAUCCUUUGAGCUAACUCACUGAGAAGAGCAGAGAUGGGGGGUGCUCAGAUUCUCAUCUCCUUGAAAAGAGGAUCUGAAUUCGAAUUGCUGUGGCAGUCGGACCGCCCAGGCUCCAGGCUCCGCUGCCUCUCGUGCUACGCUAUCUCCGAACCCCAGUCUGUUUUCCCACUUGCCGUCUGGUAUUUUUAUCUGCGGCUCAUGGCAUAGAAAAGGUCCUCAAACAAUGUGUGCAGAGUGAUUCCAUGCAGAUCAGGGAAGGAACUUCCUGGGGGGAGUAAGGAUAGCCUGCUUCAGUCUGUCAGGAUGUUCAAUUCACUUCCGGAGCAGGGGUCCGGUCCUUCUGCUCGGUCUGUGUGCCUUGAGUGUUGUGAG